rnacentral:rRNA from 1 species
GUACGGGGGGGGCAAGCGUUGUUCGGAAUUACUGGGCGUAAAGGGCGCGUAGGCGGCCUUCUAAGUCAGACGUGAAAUCCCUCGGCUCAACCGGGGAACUGCGUCUGAGACUGGAAGGCUUGAAUCCGGGAGAGGGAUGUGGAAUUCCAGGUGUAGCGGUGAAAUGCGUAGAUAUCUGGAGGAACACCGGUGGCGAAGGCGGCAUCCUGGACCGGUAUUGACGCUGAGGCGCGAAAGCCAGGGGAGCAAACGGG